rnacentral:rRNA from 1 species
AUGGAGUCAAUGGCAAGUAUUGCUCCAAGUGCCGGCUCAACUACAGCAAUGGGACUUGAAGAUGAUGCCAACAACUUUUCCAUGGUCCAAACGGGAUUGGACAUACAUGAUGAAGAUUGUUUCAAUACACCAAAAAGAACCAGUAGCCUCCCCGUGUGUGGGUCAACUUAUGAGCCUGAGUAUGAUGAUAGCCUACACCCAUCAAUUGGCAUGCGAUUUGAUAGCUGGGAGGCAGGUUUGGCAUUCUAUAGAAUGUAUGCCCAUGAGGUUGGCUUCUCCGUGCGCAUAUGGACACAACACAAAGGAGAGGGUGGUGUAAUAAUUUGGAAGAAGUUUGUUUGCGCAAGAGAAGGUUGCAGGAAGGAAAAAUCAGUGGACAUUGGCCAAGAUACUCAAGAAAUGAAGAGAAAAAAGGUUAAAAGAAAUAUCAAGAUAACCAGAUGCGGUUGUGAGGCUAUGAUCGGAUUGAAGGGGCAAGAUGAUGGCAAGUAUGAGGUCAUCCAGUUUGUUCAAUCACACACACACCAACUUAUCUCACCAAGUAAGAGACAUCACAUCCGGUCAAAUAGAGAGAGAUGUGUAUACUCACAAGAUUUUUGUUGCUUUCCAACGUGGGUGGUGGCUGCUAGGGACCGUUGUCAUGUAAAACCUAUUGAGCAGGUUGGUGAUGUCCGAACCACGAGCAUCGGUGACCUUAGCGGCAGGAUAAGAGUAGUCCGCUACAACACUAGUAUGAAGGCUGCACAAUGUACUUGUCGAAUGUUUGAAUCAUUGGGCAUCAUGUGCUCUCACAUCAUUGUUGUUUUAAAGAAUGAUGGGUGUAAUGAAAUUCCUAGCCAAUAUGUGUUGCAUAGGUGGACUAAAAUGGCUUCACGACAUCUUUCUUAUGAUGCCAAUGGACAUGAGCUAGAAGGGUCUUCUACAUCUCUUUCACCUACCAUCAAGAAAUUGUACUCAGAAACAUGCUCGAUGUUUAGCUCGGCAUUGCAUACAGCUAAACAUUGUGAGGACAAGAUGAAAUACUUUCACAAAGUUAUUGUUGAUGCUCUUGCACACUUGAGGCAGACUGUGCCGCUUGACGAGCAAAGUAAAGUUCAAGAGUUUGAAUCCUUCAUUGGAACCACAUCACCAAGCAUCAUCAAAAUUCAUCCACCCGAGGUUGCAAACACAAAAGGUAGUGGUAAGAGAUUGAAGAGGGGUUCAGAGGAGGCCAUGAACAAAAGGAAAAGGUAA